UCAGAUAAAACCCUAAGUCUGGGUGUUGGUUGCAUUUGGAUCCUUUUCUUUAUUUAUUUGAUGAUUAUAUUUGGUACUUAAGGACCGUCAACAACUCCCCCAAGCUUACCUCUUGCUCGUCCCUGAGCAAGGAUGGACUCAAGAGUUUCUGCAGUGGUUUUAUUUCUUAGAAGUACACACGCAUUUAAGCAAGAUCUCAUCUCUGAGUUAGAAUAAACUGUUAAGACUUAAAACUUACUCAUUUUACCUUUCACCAUGGGGCUUGUAACGUCACUUGUGUCUUGAGCAGUUAAAAGAUAGAACGGUCAAGUCAAGCACCAUGUAUCUUGUUCUUUGAUCAACUAUAGCUCUGGAGUUUUUGCAGAUUUUCAAAUAAAACUCAGAGAUUCCUUGUAUAAUUCUCUCAAGUCUCUCUUUUGUGGUAUUUCUGGAUCCUUACCAAGGCAGUAAUGGGAUAUGCCUUCUCUCACAGUAUGUGGUAUUUUUGGUAUGAGGCAUAGUGAUAUUGCCUUCUCUCUCACCCUACUCUAGUAAGGUUUUGAUAUCUGGAGCUCAUAGGUGGGAGACAGCUAAUACAUACUUACAAGACAUUUAUUGCAUAGUCAAACCAUGGAUACAGAGAAACAAGUCAAUAAGUCAAAUCAAGAUGUGCAUGUGUGGCGAGUGAAUGGUGUAUGGUGAUGAUGGAGAUAACAAUGGUGAAAGUCUAAUUCUACUUUUGCUCUUUUAAGGGGAUACAUACCUUUCUUGCACUUAGAAGCUUUUUGGGGAGAAUAGAUGCUCUAUAUUUUCUUUUUCUUACCUCUCAGGUGGGUAUCUUGUACACUUUUUCUUUUCUUCGAGGUUCCAGGCACUUGCCCCUUUUUAUUUCCGCGUAUAUUUUUUUUUCUCUCUUUUUUUUAGAGCACUCAUCUCCUGAAAUAAUGUAGCAAGUGGUAGUAACCAAAAUAACUGGAGCAUUUAUUUCACAAGGGGAAACAGAAAUAUUUUUGGUUAUUCUCUCCCGGAUUAGGAGUAGAAUACUUUUGGGUGGUUUUGGAGAUGGAAAUGAGUGGAUAUAUGUGGAUGGUACUUCCGGAGUAGAAGUAGCAUGUAAGAGUGAACGUGCAAGUGAAUCUUGAUUUAACCACAUGACAAGCUCCUAAGGGUCUACACAGCUUGACCACACUCAAUGCUCAUAAGCAGUAAAUAGUAAAUGUGUGGCUCAAGGUCUAGCAAGCAUGUAUAUAUGCUGUGGUAGGAAUUUAAACUCUCAUCAUACAGGAACUCAUCAUGCAACAUUUUAAAGAUUUUCAAAGAUAAAAUUCUCCAGAAUUCUAGCAUCUCUAGGAACAGAUAAACAGCAGCUCAACCUUCCCAUAUCGUAUCCGUUAACAACUUAGACUUCAGAUCAAGUUUUCAUCCCACAAAUUUAGGUCUAGAGCAAGCCUUAAAUUAUAACACUUAUAUCUAAACUUGAGAGAGAACUUCAAAUUUGCAAAUUAGGCAGAGUAACUAUUCAUCAUAUCCAUGCUUAAGUUUUAUUAGAUACCGAUUAGCAUAGCCACUUUAUUUAUUUAUUAAACACACUAAGCAAAAUAUAUAUAAGCAUAAAAUAUUUAUUUGGUUUUUUAUAGUUAUGUGUAUUUAUAUUCUAAAAUAAUAUAAGUAUGAAGAUAGAUAGAAAUACUUAUCGAGGUAAAUGGGGGUGCUCUCCCCCAAGCUGAAUUUUGACGUAAUUUCUCUUGAUGUAGCUAGCAGGUGGCAGAGGUGUAUUUGAAAGUCAGCAGCAUUCUGACAGCAAUUAGAAUGUCCUCCGUCUGCUAGUCUUCUUGAUUCUUAAAUUCUGUGGAGCUCAAAUAGACAACAAAGCUUGUGGAACUCUUGGCAAGGCGUUCGGUGUUUUUAAGUCCUCCGAAUGGGACUCCUUGUGUUUUCAGUCAUCCUGGGAUUAGCUAGGUGGCGUAGUCGGUGAUUCCGGUGGCGCCUCCUCUUUGUGUAUAACUAUGUUCUCUUUCCACACCUGACUCGGUGCUACGGUCUCCUCAGGACAGUUCUGUUCAAGUUGUAUGUCUUCAGUCCUUAUCACUUUUCCUUCGUAGUCUACCCGUCCGUCCUUGAUGAUUUGCCUCCUCUAGUUGCGGUUGCGUUGUCUUCUUCUUGUCCUGACCUGCUUAGAAUCUUCAACUAUAUAGUUAGGGUCAGUAAAAUAACGGCGUACCUUCUCUGAGGGGAAGUGCAUAUGGACUUCUCCGGUUCCAAUGUAGAUAAUUGCUUUAACGGUACUGAGGAACGGUCUUCCAAGGAUGGUGGAUGGAUCAUAUUCGUCUUCUCCCAUAUCAAUGACCUGAAAAUUGUCUGAAGCUGAAUGUAUCUUGGUUGUAGGGGCAUGGUUCCGUGCAGGAGGUGAUAAGUGACUGCGGCCAUUAUGUUGUCGUCAGAUCCGGUGUCGUAGAGUGUCUUCUGAAAAGAGUAUUCGUUGAUUGUGCACUUGAUGCUUGAAACACCAGGGUCGUUCUUCUUGAUCAAGAAAGGUCACUUGAGUCGACGAUCUUGACCUCCUUGAGCUGCAGUGACCAUCUCAGCUGACUCGGUCCACAUUUGCUUGUUCUUCUUCCUCCUGUUGGUCCUCUUCCUUGGUUCAUGUUAGGAUUGCUCUGAAGUUUGUGUAGUCUUGUUCUUGAAGGAAAGUCUCCUUCUUCCCCUUGAUGUAGAAACGGAUCUUGGCAGCAUUAGCGUAGAUGACAGCUCUGGUGUUUAGGAAUGGCCUCCCUAAGAUGAUGGGUGCUCUCUCAUCAUUUCCGGUCUCUACCACUACGAAGUCUGCUGGGGCAUACAAGGUACCAACUCGGACACAAAGGUUCUUCAAUAUUCCUUUUGGAAAAGUUAUCGCCUGAUCUCCAUUGUGUUUGUGCUUGUAGAUCCCGGUUCUUCACAUGAUGGAAUCUGGGAGUUGUAAAACGCCUUCACGUUUCUCAAAAUGUGUCCUGCUCAUAGAGACAAGGCAGAGAUCAAGUGCAUGGGCCCUGUUGGUGGAAAACACCAACAGAACCAAAAGUGUAUUUGUUCUUCUCUAACCUUAAGCAUAGUGAGCAAGACAAAGUUGAUGGAUCAUGAGUGUAGCAUUUAAAACAUUUGUUAGAUCAGAUGGCUCAACCUAAUGGAAAGAUAAUCUAUCUAUAUUUAUGUUUUGUUUAUAUCUUCCAAAGAUUGAAUGUGCAAUACUUUAGCUUAUAUGAUUAGGAGUGUGGGAUCACAAAGGUAGUACCAAGAACAAAGAUUAAAGGACUAAACAUGUUGAAUUAAUUGGGUUGAUUAAUUUGGAGCCACAAAUCAUACAUGUUUGUCUCUUUAUUUUAUGUGAACGCUAGAACCAAGGAGAAGUUUAUAAAAGUGAUAGUCAAGUACCUUAAAAUGUUACCUUACCUGAGGAGUGACGGUACAGUAUCACCUUGUGGAAGCUUUCCUUUCUUAGCGGUUGUGCAUCGUGUUUGUGGCACCCUCCAUAGAUCAUAUCUUUAUGAUGAAUGAGCUAUGUCCUUCUUGUGCAAAUUGUUAAACUUCAUGUGUCUCCUUUAUCUCCAAUGAGUUUGUAUCUCAGGACUUCCCAGGUUGAUAUUGAAAGUUUUCCUGCAGGGGUUAGUCCAACAAAAUAUACCAAUAUCUACUCAAGCAGUUUUUAGUUCAGUAACCAAACUAGACUCCAUGUCUAAUCAGAUUAAGGAAGGCUAUUUAACCUAAGCACCACGCUUAAUUUAAAUGCCAUUGGAAGUGUGUCUAGUACUUCCAAACUAACACUUACUAGGAUAAACAAAGGUAGCAUGAUGGCUUUUAUAGAGAUCUACUCAAGUGGAGAUGAAGUAGUGUGAUUAGUAUUUAACAAAUUGAGUAUGUCUCAAAGGUAAGGACAACCAACAUAGCAACAUGGCAAAGGAUGUUUUAUGUAAAGUACUCCCCCAAGCUUGAAUUUUGCAAAAUUCAAGAUUGGAUGAAUUUAAUUUAAUGUUGCAUGAUGAUUGGUUGGGCAUACCUUGCGCUUGUCAUUCAUCCGAUCUUCUUGCUCCAAUCCUAGAAAGGUUAGUGGCAAGAAUACCCGAAGGAAUAUUUCUACAAUUAUCUUUAUAUGCUCAAUACACAAGGCAAUGUUGCAAAUAAUUAGAAGUGCUUGUUUUAGGACACUAAGCUUGUCCUUGGGAAACCAUCAAUUAACUCAACGAGAUCUGCAAUAUUUAUUAUAGACAUAUGCAUCGACAACCGCUCUUUUAAAGUUUUUAUAAAUAGAAAAGAAGAGAGGGUUGGAGAUCUCAAAUGUGAUAAGGAUGGAGAGACUAAUUGAUUGGAGAGAUGUUUUAUAUGAGCAAGGACUGGGUAAGGUAUUUAUGAAAUAACUUCCAUGCUCACUGUUGUUUCUCUCAUUCUCAAACUCCAAGGAUGAUUCUUCAUGAAUGCUAAAAAUUCCUCUAGGAUUGUCUCUCAAGUUUGUUUUAUCUAUCCAUUCAAUGGUGAUAGCACAUGGAUUUUUAAUGCCCUCUAGCCAUUGAUGUUGCUCUUCUCGAUCCUCCUUCUUAUGCAUGGGAUGUCUAGAUAGAUUUAUAGGAUUAUCGGGAGGUUCAAGAGAAAGAGCAUAGUAGAAAUUGUUAAGCUCAAGGAUGGGUUGGAUAGCCGAAUCAUGGGAUUGGAAUGUUUGGAAAUCGGCUAUUGAAACUUCCUUUCCUUGUCUGGGAGAUGAUUCCUUCUCUAUCUCUAAGAUUUUUCUAUGAAGACUAGUGCAAGAAGGAUGUCCACAAAUGAAGACAUACCUUCCUUUACUAAUAGAUAAAGAAAGAAGGACUCCACCAAAGGUUAUAUGAUUAAGACCAAUGUGAAAAUAUCGAGAAAAAACAUGGUCUUGUAGGGCUAGGUCUAAACCAGAAUUUAUAGAAAGAUUAACAGAUUCCCUAGGUGUAGCUAAAAGGGCAUUAUCUUCUUGAUUAAAAGAUAGGACCUCGGCUAUAGAAAAGGGUUGGUUUUGACCUAUUGCAAUCAACUCCGGACACAGAUCAUAAUUAGGGGCAGGACGUGUUGACUCCCAUGGUCUAUGGCUGAUCUCCGAAGGUGCAAAGAAUUCAAUAAUAGGUAUGGAAUUUGAGUUAUCCAUAAAGAUAAAAAUAAAAAGAUAAAAGAAUAAAAGUAUAAAAGUAUAAUACAAGAUAAUAGCAAGACUCAAAGUUAUCUCAGCAAACCGUCUUUCUCCCAGGCAACGGCGCCAGAAAUGCUUGUUGAUAUUUGGUAACGCAAUUAUAAAAUGAUCCGCAAGCGCACGGAUAUCGGUGAGCAUUUCACCCGGGAGGUUAUCCAGAGUUAUCGUAUUUAUAUUUUUACCACUGGGAGAAAGGGUGCAUCUGACUAACCAAAUCUAUUGCUACUACCCCUUUAGGCUACAAAGAAUGUUUCUCGAUGUGAGUGAUGUAUAGAGAAGACUGCAACCGUAGUCUCAUUCUAACCUUGGUAAGGAUGAUCUACUGUUCUAUUGGGGAGGCUCACGGAAUCUAGACAACACAAAGGAUGUUCGACCCGCACCUAUAAACCUACCCGUCCUGCUAACGAGAUGUGAUCUACAAAGGUAACUCGGAAAUGUCACGUUCCUCGCUACUACCACGGUCCAGCUAGUCAGGGGAUAUCUAUGAGUACCCUAGCCUAAACACCACGUUUACGCUAACAAGUGAUUACUCUAAUACUCAACCGGAAGAGGAUUAAAGUAAACUCAUAAACCAAAGAACAAUAAAACAAGAACUUACUAGUAUUAGAAGUCGAAUUACUGAAGAAUCUUAGAAGCAAGCCUCGGGUUAGGAGACUUGAUCCCGUAGGUACAACUCGGAGUAGACACCGACAGGCCGGCCUUCCUCCGAUCCAUACCUCCACUCUAUCUCUCUCAAUCUAGUAGAAACUAGAAGAUUUAUUUCUACUUUACAUUGGUUGCUAAGCCUAAAAAGAAAUAUUAUUUAGAGAAGAGGUUUUCCUUCGAGGGCACCCCUCAAUCUCUAUGAUAAUUUCUUGUCUCCUCCAGGGGCCAGAGGGGGUCUCCUUAUAUAGUCCUCCCCUUCUAUGCAUUUUUGGGUCGAUAGGCGAGGUGGUACUAUGUUAUUCUGGAUCCAAUAGGUCGGUGGAACGUCGUGUGCGAAGAGAGUCCGGAACGGAGUCCAGAGGUGGGCGGGCGCCCAGGUCCUCAGGGCGGGCGCCCUGGGCCUGGCCCCUUUCGGGCUCUGCUUCCUUCCCGUGGCUUCUGGAGUCUUCUAGAUGGUAGAAAAUUGCACGGUGGGUUGAUAUCUCUAUGUAAUCCCGACAUGUGGGCCUUUCUUCCUUAUUUCCUGAUAACCCCCUGCAGAAAUAGACAAACACCAAAACUCGUAGAAUUCUGUCAGAUAAAACCCUAGGUCUAGGUGUUGGUUGCAUUUGGAUCCUUUUCUUUAUUUAUUUGAUGAUUAUAUUUGGUACUUAAGGACCGUCAACAACUCCCCCAAGCUUACCUCUUGCUCGUCCCUGAGCAAGGAUGGACUCAAGAGUUUCUGCAGUGGUUUUAUUUCUUAGAAGUACACACGCAUUUAAGCAAGAUCUCAUCUCUGAGUUAGAAUAAACUGUUAAGACUUAAAACUUACUCAUUUUACCUUUCACCAUGGGGCUUGUAACGUCACUUGUGUCUUGAGUAGUUAAAAGAUAGAACGGUCAAGUCAAGCACCAUGUAUCUUGUUCUUUGAUCAACUAUAGCUCUGGAGUUUUUGCAGAUUUUCAAAUAAAACUCAGAGAUUCCUUGUAUAAUUCUCUCUAGUCUCUCUUUUGUGGUAUUUCUGGAUCCUUACCAAGGCAGUAAUGGGAUAUGCCUUCUCUCACAGUAUGUGGUAUUUUUGGUAUGAGGCAUAGUGAUAUUGCCUUCUCUCUCACCCUACUCUAGUAAGGUUUUGAUAUCUGGAGCUCAUAGGUGGGAGACAGCUAAUACAUACUUACAAGACAUUUAUUGCAUAGUCAAACCAUGGAUCCAGAGAAACAAGUCAAUAAGUCAAAUCAAGAUGUGCAUGUGUGGCGAGUGAAUGGUGUAUGGCGAUGAUGGAGAUAACAAUGGUGAAAGACUAAUUCUACUUUUGCUCUUUUAAGGGGAUACAUACCUUUCUUGCACUUAGAAGCUUUUUGGGGAGAAUGAGAUGCUCUAUAUUUUCUUUUUCUUACCUCUCAGGUGGGUAUCUUGUACACUUUUUCUUUUCUUCAAGGUUCCAGGCACUUGCCCCUUUUUAUUUCCUCGUAUAUUUUUUUUCUCUCUUUUUUUUAGAGCACUCAUCUCCUGAAAUAAUGUAGCAAGUGGUAGUAACCAAAAUAACUCGAGCAUUUAUUUCACAAGGGGAAACAGAAAUAUUUUUGGUUAUUCUCUCCCGGAUUAGGAGUAGAAUACUUUUGGGUGGUUUUGGAGAUGGAAAUGAGUGGAUAUAUGUGGAUGGUACUUCCGGAGUAGAAGUAGCAUGUAAGAGUGAACGUGCAAGUGAAUCUUGAUUUAACCACAUGACAAGCUCCUAAGGGUCUACACAGCUUGACCACACUCAAUGCUCAUAAGCAGUAAAUAGUAAAUGUGUGGCUCAAGGUCUAGCAAGCAUGUAUAUAUGGCUGUGGUAGGAAUUUAAACUCUCAUCAUACAGGAACUCAUCAUGCAACAUUUUAAAGAUUUUCAAAGAUAAAAUUCUCCAGAAUUCUGGCAUCUCUAGGAACAGAUAAACAGCAGCUCAACCUUCCCAUAUCGUAUCCGUUAACAACUUAGACUUCAGAUCAAGUUUUCAUCCCACAAAUUUAGGUCUAGAGCAAGCCUUAAAUUAUAACAGUUAUAUCUAAACUUGAGAGAGAACUUCAAAUUUGCAAAUUAGGCAGAGUAACUAUUCAUCAUAUCCAUGCUUAAGUUUUAUUAGAUACCGAUUAGCAUAGCCACUUUAUUUAUUUAUUAAACACACUAAGCAAAAUAUAUAUAAGCAUAAAAUCUUUAUUUGGUUUUUUAUAGUUAUGUGUAUUUAUAUUCUAAAAUAAUAUAAGUAUGAAGAUAGAUAGAAAUACUUAUCGAGGUAAAUGGGGGUGCUCUCCUCCAAGCUAAAUUUUGACGUAAUUUCUCUUGAUGUAGCUAGCAAGUGGCAGAGGUGUAUUUGAAAGUCAGCAGCAUUCUGACAGCAAUUAGAAUGUCCUCCGUCUACUAGUCUUCUUGAUUCUUAAAUUCUGUGGAGCUCAAAUAGACAACAAAGCUUGUGGAACUCUUGGCAAGGCGUUCGGUGUUUUUAAGUCCUCCGAAUGGGACUCCUUGUGUUUUCAGUCGUCCUGGGAUUAGCUAGGUGGCGUAGUCGGUGAUUCCGGUGGCGCCUCCUCUUUGUGUAUAACUAUGUUCUCUUUCCACACCUGACUCGGUGCUACGGUCUCCUCAGGACAGUUCUGUUCAAGUUGUAUGUGUUCAGUCCUUAUCACUUUUCCUUCGUAGUCUACCCGUCCGUCCUUGAUGAUUUGCCUCCUCUGGUUGCGGUUGCGUUGUCUUCUUCUUGUCCUGACCUGCUUAGAAUCUUCAACUAUAUAGUUAGGGUUAGUAAAAUAAUGGCGUACCUUCUCUGAGGGGAAGUGCAUAUGGACUUCUCCGGUUCCAAUGUAGAUAAUUGCUUUAACGGUGCUGAGGAACGGUCUUCCAAGGAUGGUGGAUGGAUCAUAUUCGUCUUCUCCCAUAUCAAUGACCUGAAAAUUGUCUGAAGCUGAAUGUAUCUUGGUUGUAGGGGCAUGGUUCCGUGCAGGAGCUGAUAAGUGACUGCGGCCAUUAUGUUGUCGUCAGAUCCGGUGUCGUAGAGUGUCUUCUGA
rnacentral:lncRNA from 1 species